AUUUUCUGAUUCUCUCUCUAAAAUCCUUUUCUCUCCAACUUCUCUCUAAAACCAUUUCUCUCUUCUCACUUACGGCUUCGUCUUCUCACUUACGGCUUCGUCUUCUCACCUUCGAUUUCUUCGAUUCUCACUCGCCUUCAUCUUCUCCACAUUCUAACUUGGUUUCAGAGCUUGAAAUCAUGGCUACAACAACUACUCGUGAUACCUCACCUUCUUCUCAGACGCAAACUGCGCUAGCGCUAACAACUUCGGUCGUCGCUUCGUCACUGACUCUUCCAUCAUCGUCUAUGAAGCUAACGGUGCACAAUUUUCUUGUCUGGAAGCAUUUCAUGACAGGGAAGCUAACAUCACACCGAGCUCAGAACAGAAAUACCGCACAGGUUCCUCAAUGAAGAUGAUCGUCUAAUUAA
rnacentral:lncRNA from 1 species